rnacentral:rRNA from 1 species
GACGAACGCUGGCGGCGUGCUUAACACAUGCAAGUCGAGCGGUAAGGCCCUUUCGGGGGUACACGAGCGGCGAACGGGUGAGUAACACGUGGGUGACCUGCCCUCAGCUCUGGGAUAAGCCUGGGAAACUGGGUCUAAUACCGGAUAUGACUCCAUGACGCAUGUUGUGGGGUGGAAAGCCUUGUGCGGCUGAGGAUGGGCCCGCGGCCUAUCAGCUUGUUGGUGGGGUGAUGGCCUACCAAGGCGACGACGGGUAGCCGGCCUGAGAGGGCGACCGGCCACACUGGGACUGAGACACGGCCCAGACUCCUACGGGAGGCAGCAGUGGGGAAUCUUGCGCAAUGGGCGAAAGCCUGACGCAGCGACGCCGCGUGAGGGAUGACGGCCUGGUGUAAGCU